UGCUAAAUUCACUGAUGCUGUCAAGGAAUUUGAUAGUAUGACCCCGCUGGAUGCUUGGAAGACAACACUUUUAUUAAGAGUAAAGGAGGCCUUGAAGGCAAAGAGAUGGAGGAAGAUGAUCUUACUUGAGUUGUGCCUUCCUUACCAUGUGGAUUUAUCCAAGUCUCUGAGUUUCUUCUGAUAAGUCUUGUGGGAUUGUGUGUGACUAUAAGAAUGAUACUACUAUCAAGUUUGGUGUUGGAAGUGUUUGCAAGAUCCAUGACCAUGAUUUUUGUAACUAAUACACCAUUUCAUGUUUUCGAUUUUCA